GAUGAACGCUGGCGGCGUGCCUAAUACAUGCAAGUCGAGCGAACAGACGAGGAGCUUGCUCCUCUGACGUUAGCGGCGGACGGGUGAGUAACACGUGGAUAACCUACCUAUAAGACUGGGAUAACUUCGGGAAACCGGAGCUAAUACCGGAUAAUAUAUUGAACCGCAUGGUUCAAUAGUGAAAGACGGUUUUGCUGUCACUUAUAGAUGGAUCCGCGCCGCAUUAGCUAGUUGGUAAGGUAACGGCUUACCAAGGCAACGAUGCGUAGCCGACCUGAGAGGGUGAUCGGCCACACUGGAACUGAGACACGGUCCAGACUCCUACGGGAGGCAGCAGUAGGGAAUCUUCCGCAAUGGGCGAAAGCCUGACGGAGCAACGCCGCGUGUGUGAUGAAGGUCUUCGGAUCGUAAAACUCUGUUAUUAGGGAAGAACAAAUGUGUAAGUAACUAUGCACGUCUCGACGGUACCUAAUCAGAAAGCCACGGCUAACUACGUG
rnacentral:rRNA from 1 species